CCUACGGGUGGCUGCAGUGAGGAAUAUUGCGCAAUGGAGGCAACUCUGACGCAGCCAUGCCGCGUGCAGGAAGAAGGCGCUACGCGUUGUAAACUGCUUUUAACCGGGAAGAAACCCCAGGACGUGUCCUGGGUUGACGGUCCCGGAGGAAUAAGCACCGGCUAACUUCGUGCCAGCAGCCGCGGUAAUACGAAGGGUGCAGGCGUUAUCCGGAGUCAUGGGGGCGAAGGUGUGCGGUGAAGGGAGUGGUGAAAGCCUACAGCUCAACUGUAGAAUUGCCAUUGAUACUGGCGCUCUUGAGUGCGGUUGAAGUAGGCGGAAUGUGCCGUGUAGCGGUGAAAUGCUUAGAUAUGGCACAGAACACCAAUUGCGAAGGCAGCUUACUAAGGCGAUACUGACACUGAGGCACGAAAGCGUGGGGAUCGAACAGGAUUAGAUACCCGAGUAGUC
rnacentral:rRNA from 1 species